UCUGUGAUGGUGGGCUGGAUUAGAUGCCCCUGCAUGGCUGUGUUGGGGAGGGGUGAUUCCUAGAACAAAGGAAGGAAGAAGGGGCCAUGACCACCCACCUCAAUCAUUAUCAACCAAACACAUUCAAGUGGCUUUUUGAAAUGUUUCUGCGUCAUCCUACACACAGGUACUCCAGCACAAGGCGCUUUCCCUCGGAAAUAUACUCAUAAUCAACCUAGGACAGUAAGUCCUGAUGUUCUCAGAACAUUUCCCCAGGUGAACAACAGUUAACAGGACUGGGGGGCGGGGAGGGGGCCAACAAUAGGAUCCUGUUUACUCUUGUGAAAAGAAAAUAUGUGCCUUCCUCUUUCAAGUUGAGAAUUCCCUAAGAGCAAGGAGGAAUAAAAAGUGAAACACUGCCACCCACUGGAUGGAAAAAGCCUGCAGAGGAAAUUCAAAGUACUCCAGCCGUUCAAGGCCCCAGCAUCCUACUGGACUUUAAACCGAAACAUCAGCACUCUGCCGGGGUCCUACUGCCAGCACUCCAGGGGCAUGGACGGUGACUUUUCAAACACCAGCAAGAAAAUCACUGAGAGAUCAAGUUAAAAGAAAAGUUUAAUCGGGCAACUGUGCCCCUUUUGGCAUUCUGGAUUUACAAUAGUGUCCAAAAAACGGCAACAAUGGUCUGAAGACAACUUCUACUGCACAAUCCCGCUUUAGAAACUAAAAGGACAAUAGGAAUGCAGGGAUACUUCAGAGAUACUGCGGGUUUGCUUCCAGACCACUGCAACAAAGAGAAUGCAAUAAAGCCAAAUGAACUUUUUGGUUUCUUAGUGCAUGUAAGUUAUGUUUACAUUAUACUGUAUGUCAUUAUACAUAAUUGUGUAAUAGCAUUGUCUAAAAGAAUGUACAUAUCUUAAUUAAAAAAUGCUUUAUUGCUAAAAACUGCUAA